rnacentral:snoRNA from 1 species
GCCACAUGAUGUGAUGUAGAUUGCAUUAGCACUCUGUGCAAAGAUGACCUGCGGUCUAUCACCCAUGACUGAUGGCU